rnacentral:misc_RNA from 1 species
GGAAGUAAAAGUCGUGACAAGGUUUCCGUAGGUGAACCUGCGGAAGGAUCAUUACAGAGUUCAUGCCCUCACGGGUAGAUCUCCCACCCUUGAAUAUUUAUACCUUAGUUGCUUUGGCAGGCCGUGGAAACACCAUGGGCUCCGGCUUAUGCGUGCCUGCCAGAGGAAACAAACUCUGUUUUUAGUGAUGUCUGAGUACUAUAUAAUAGUUAAAACUUUCAACAACGGAUCUCUUGGUUCUG